rnacentral:rRNA from 1 species
AGAGUUCGAUCCUGGCUCAGGACGAACGCUGGCGGCGCGCCUAACACAUGCAAGUCGAACGAGCGAGAGAGAGCUUGCUUUCUCGAGCGAGUGGCGAACGGGUGAGUAACGCGUGAGGAACCUGCCUCAAAGAGGGGACAACAGUUGGAAACGACUGCUAUUACCGCAUAAGCCCACAGCUCGGCAUCGAGCAGAGGGAAAAGGAGCAAUCCGCUUUGAGAUGGCCUCGCGUCCGAUUAGCUGGUUGGUGAGGUAACGGCCCACCAAGGCGACGAUCGGUAGCCGGACUGAGAGGUUGAACGGCCACAUUGGGACUGAGACACGGCCCAGACUCCUACGGGAGGCAGCAGUGGGGAAUAUUGCACAAUGGGGGAAACCCUGAUGCAGCGACGCCGCGUGGAGGAAGAAGGUCUUCGGAUUGUAAACUCCUGUUGUUGAGGAAGAUAAUGACGGUACUCAACAAGGAAGUGAUGGCUAACUACGUGCCAGCAGCCGCGGUAAAACGUAGGUCACAAGCGUUGUCCGGAAUUACUGGGUGUAAAGGGAGCGCAGGCGGGAAGGCAAGUUGGAAGUGAAAUCCAUGGGCUCAACCCAUGAACUGCUUUCAAAACUGUUUUUCUUGAGUAGUGCAGAGGUAGGCGGAAUUCCCGGUGUAGCGGUGGAAUGCGUAGAUAUCGGGAGGAACACCAGUGGCGAAGGCGGCCUACUGGGCACCAACUGACGCUGAGGCUCGAAAGUGUGGGUAGCAAACAGGAUUAGAUACCCUGGUAGUCCACACUGUAAACGAUGAUUACUAGGUGUUGGAGGAUUGACCCCUUCAGUGCCGCAGCUAACACAAUAAGUAAUCCACCUGGGGAGUACGACCGCAAGGUUGAAACUCAAAGGAAUUGACGGGGGCCCGCACAAGCAGUGGAGUAUGUGGUUUAAUUCGACGCAACGCGAAGAACCUUACCAAGUCUUGACAUCCUGCGACGCGCAUAGAAAUAUGUGUUUCCUUCGGGACGCAGAGACAGGUGGUGCAUGGUUGUCGUCAGCUCGUGUCGUGAGAUGUUGGGUUAAGUCCCGCAACGAGCGCAACCCUUAUGGUCAGUUACUACGCAAGAGGACUCUGGCCAGACUGCCGUUGACAAAACGGAGGAAGGUGGGGAUGACGUCAAAUCAUCAUGCCCUUUAUGACUUGGGCUACACACGUACUACAAUGGCGUUAAACAAAGAGAAGCGAGACCGCGAGGUGGAGCAAAACUCAGAAACAACGUCCCAGUUCGGACUGCAGGCUGCAACUCGCCUGCACGAAGUCGGAAUUGCUAGUAAUCGCAGAUCAGCAUGCUGCGGUGAAUACGUUCNCCGGGCCAAAUACACACCGCCCGUCA